ACGAACGCUGGCGGCGUGCUUAACACAUGCAAGUCGAACGGAAAGGCCCCUUUGGGGGUACUCGAGUGGCGAACGGGUGAGUAACACGUGAGUAACCUGCCCUUGACUUCGGGAUAACUUCAGGAAACUGGGUCUAAUACCGGAUAGGAAUCCUUGCUGCAUUGUGGGGGUUGGAAAGCUUCUGCGGUUUUGGAUGGACUCUCGGCUUAUCAGCUUGUUGAUGGGGUAGUGGCUUACCAAGGCUUUGACGGGUAGCCGGCCUGAGAGGGCGACCAGCCACAGUGGGACUGAGAUACGGCCCGGACUCCUACGGGAGGCAGCAGUGGGGAAUAUUGCACAAUGGGCGGAAGCCUGAUGCAGCAACGCCGCGUGCGGGAUGACGGCCUUCGGGUUGUAAACCGCUUUCAGCAGGGGCGAAGCUUGUGGUGACGGUACCUGCAGAAGAAGCACCGGCUAACUACGUG
rnacentral:rRNA from 1 species